CACAGAGAUAUUAAUGUUCAAAAUUGGGAGCAUCUUUUGGGAUGUGUCUAAAAUUAGCAAAAAUCGGCAUAUCAAAUAUUAACUCCAGUGUUUGUUUGUUAAUGACAUAUCAGGCCAACUUGUAUUUCAGCGAAUUGUCGUUAGGGUUUGUAAGGGAUAUGGCGUAAAUUUAGACAUCUUACAUGUAAGUCUUAGCUCAAUGUUUCCUGAAAUAUGAACGUUCGAAAUUAUGCAAGUAUUUAAUAUUAGGUCUUUACAAACUUAAAAGUACAUGAAAGACCAUGGAAGGCAGGCGCUUAAAUUUUUCUUAAAUAGCCUAAUUUUUUUAUGUUUUUAAUGGGUUCAAACAGACUGAGUUGAUUACUUCUCGGUUAGAGCAGGAUGAAUAUUAUUCUUUAUUGAAGGAAAUAAUAUUGCUUUUUGCAAAUACACAUUCAGCGUAUCAACGCUACUAUUUUGUUACGUUUUGUUCCAAAAAUGUUGCAUGUCUCUGGGGAGUUGCUUAAUUGUUAUGUCUUAUGGAGUUAUAUGGUUUGAUUGUGUUUCAUAUAACUCUCAGUUUACUCUGAACUUGCCAAGAUUAAGAAAAGGCAAAAGAGUUUGGGUGUUCUUAACAAGAUUUCAGAAC